AUUGAACGCUGGCGGCAGGCUUAACACAUGCAAGUCGAGCGGGGUGAUGGUGCUUGCACUAUCACUUAGCGGCGGACGGGUGAGUAAUGCUUAGGAAUCUGCCUAUUAGUGGGGGACAACAUCUCGAAAGGGAUGCUAAUACCGCAUACGUCCUACGGGAGAAAGCAGGGGAUCACUUGUGACCUUGCGCUAAUAGAUGAGCCUAAGUCGGAUUAGCUAGUUGGUGGGGUAAAGGCCUACCAAGGCGACGAUCUGUAGCGGGUCUGAGAGGAUGAUCCGCCACACGGGGACUGAGAUACGGCCCAGACUCCUACGGGAGGCAGCAGUGGGGAAUAUUGGACAAUGGGGGGAACCCUGAUCCAGCCAUGCCGCGUGUGUGAAGAAGGCCUUAUGGUUGUAAAGCACUUUAAGCGAGGAGGAGGCUCUUUUGGUUAAUACCCAAGAUGAGUGGACGUUACUCGCAGAAUAAGCACCGACUAACUCUGUGCCAGCCGCCGCCGUAAAAC
rnacentral:rRNA from 1 species